ACUUCAGCUGCAUCUAUCCAUUUUUCCUCUUUCUCUCUUUAAUUUAAUUUUAUUUUUUAUUUUGCAGUUCAAUUUCUGACCUAGUAAAAUCAGCCUUUGGUUAUGGUGUGCAGGAGCUGAUGUUCAUGAGAAGGGGCUAACAUACUCCACACCAAAGAAAAAUGCAGGUCAACAGGAGACAGCUAUUCAUUGCCAGCAAAGGGAAGAUGAAAAAACACACAAUACCUCCUCUACCAUUUUUUUAACUGUUUUCAGGUGAGUAGAAUGAAAACAGGUGCUGCAAUUAUGCUUCAGGUAACACAAAGCACGUAAAUGUGAUGGAGACAUUCUCCCCUUCUUGCUUUUUGCUUUGUCGUGUGAAGCCUUGGAGAAAAUAAUGUGGUGAAUGCCAAAUACAGUGAGAGACCCAGCAGAAUGCAAGUGAGCGAAGGAGUUAGGGCACUCGUAUGACUAGGAGGGAGAAAGAAGAUCCCGUGGCCCCCUGAGGUGGCUCUAUUUUCAGCAGCUCCCUGGGUUUGACGCCCUAGUGCUUUGCAGCAAAUGGCUACCUCCAGCUUCUCUAGUUAAGGUAAUCAGAGCACCUCUCGGAAGAUUUAUGUCCUUCCUAUUGGACUUUUUGAGAGGAUACCUCAGCCUGGACUUUGUCUAGCCUGGUCAGGUAUAGCUGGGCACCAGCAGUUAGUGCUCUCAGAUUGAAUUCAAACGCCUUGCUGACACAGAUGUGGAGCUGAGAUCUGCUUUCCUGCAAGCACCUGGAUUCUUCAGAUGCCUGUUGACAGACCUCACAAAGCAAAUAGAUAGUGAAAGAGGCUGUCCUGAUGAUAGUCCUGCUGGGGAUCCCCAGCUCAGCCCCUUGAAGAACAUUGGGCCCAUGCUGCAUAUCACUUGUGUGCCAGGUGAACGCCUCAUGAAUGCAUUGUAGACAUCUUUCUUGCCCUCUCCCCUUGCUGCUCUCUGACAUGGGGCUCGCUGGGUGACCCUGUCCUUGGCAUGUUGCUUGGCACGCCUGGGGCCAUCCAUGGACUCCAUUACAGCACCCAUCUGGGCCUCUCACACCCAGACUCUGAGGGAUGGCGCCUAUCAAUGAGAGAACUCAGCCUCAUGCUCA
rnacentral:lncRNA from 1 species